AAAAUUGGAAUAAGCCUUCGAAAAGAAAUUGUCCUUGAAGUUUGUAUCUGAUAUCAGCACUGGACUGUAGAACUUGUUGCUGAUUUUGACCUUGUAUUCAAGUCAACUGUUCCCCUGCC